UGGUUUAUGUUUCAAAUAAUUUAUUGCCGUAGGAUGGGACUGCGGCCUAUCAGUUUGUUGGUGAGGUAAUGGCCCACCAAGACUAUUACAGGUACGGGCUCUGAGAGGAGUAGCCCGGAGAUGGGUACUGAGACACGGACCCAGGCCCUAUGGGGCGCAGCAGGCGAGAAAACUUUGCAAUGUGCGAAAGCACGACAAGGUUAAUCCGAGUGGUUUCUGCUAAAGGAACCUUUUGUCAGUCCUAGAAACACUGAUGAAUAAGGGGUGGGCAAGUUCUGGUGUCAGCCGCCGCGGUAAAACCAGCACCUCAAGUGGUCAGGAUGAUUAUUGGGCCUAAAGCAUCCGUAGCCUGCUUUGUAAGUUUUCGGUUAAAUCCAUACGUUCAACGUAUGGGCUGCCGGGAAUACUGCAAAGCUAGGGAGUGGGAGAGGUAGACGGUACUCGGUAGGAAGGGGUAAAAUCCUUUGAUCUAUUGAUGACCACCUGUGGCGAAGGCGGUCUACCAGAACACGUCCGACGGUGAGGGAUGAAAGCUGGGGGAGCAAACCGGAUUAGAUACCC
rnacentral:rRNA from 1 species